AGACUAGAUGUUGGGAGGGAGGCUGCUGAAGGGAGUAAGAAGAGGCAACUGCUAGGGAUAAUGAAGAGAGAGACAAAAACAGAUUAAAGCCGAUAAACUGAGUGCAAAUACCCUCAAAAGAGAAAGAAUCCCACAGUGUUUUGAGCCACUUAGCGUAAGGAAAACAAAAUCACGUGAACCCAAAGCUCUUGAGAAUGUGAGUAUUGUGGGUAGGAGGGUGUCAUCAGAAAACAGUUGAGAAAAGGCCUUUUGUUUUCCCUUGAUGUUUCCAGUAAGGAUGGGGAGCAGAAGCUAAAACCAACCGCUUCACAGUGGAAGCUGCUGUUUUGUGCAAAACUGACCAAAGGUUGGAAACCAGUCAUCAGCGGUGCUGGCAAAUGAAGAGACUUCUGGAUUGGGUGGGACACUUGCUGUGACUUCCAGUGAUGUACCGACCUCCCAGGACUGCUGUGGAGAUCCAGUGAGAUAACGUGUUCGCAGUGUGCAGCGUGGUCCCCAGCACAGAGUCAGUGCUGCGUGAGUGCCAAUCCCUCCCUUUUCUCUGCUCUUCCUGUCCAUCUGUCUCCCUCCACUUUUCCCCUCCUCCCCUCCCCCUCCUCUCCUCCCCCUCCCAUCUUCUCCCUCCCUCGCUGCCCCACCUUCCCUCACAGAACCCAGAGGAUCGCUGGCCCUCCUGCGCAUGGGCAGUCAGUGCCAGCUGGACCCCGAGUUGGAAGCUCCAGCUCCGAGCCAGGAAUCGGCCCCAAAACCUUCUCAGCUCUGUCGCCCGGACCAGCUCAGUGGCGUGGGCACUGCUCCCCCGGCUGAGAGCCCCCGGCUGUAACGCCCAGCUUCUCCUAGUGGAGUCGGGAAAAGGGAUCCUCAGUGUUGAGCGAGCUUCUAUCUCCUCCCUCAGUGUUUCUGCCGCAGAUACCCAGCUUUCCCUGCACCAUUCAUUGAAUAGACUAUUCUUUCAAUGGAGUGUUGUUGGCACCCUUGUUGAAAACUGACUGUAAAUAUAAGGAGACUGAGGAUUAAGUCUUCUCUCUUUUUGGGGGAGCUCAUUAUCAAUGACUGGAAGUUGUAAGGAAAAAGAUAUUGAUUCAUCCUGAGAAAACAUUUUUCUGAGAGUCAGCAUUGAAGAGGGUGACCACUGAAGAGGGUGAUCAUUGUUCGAGUGAGACGAGCCCCGUGUUGUACGGAGUCAGCAUCCCAGUCCUGGACACGGUACUGUGCUGCGUGGUGGGUGAGGCAGCGUGGCCACGCAGGGAACGAGGAUGCCGUGCCGUUGGGCUGUGCUCAGGCCUGGCUCGAUGAGUUUCACUGGAGGGAAUUGAUCUUACAGAAGAUGGACUUAACUCAGGCCUCUUCAGAAUGGACAAAUGAACCUGGAGAAAGACAGUCAAAUCUGUGCAGACAUUGAAGUCCACGUGAACGUGCUGUAUCCCUGAGCCAAAGAUUGGACAAGUAGGCAGCACUUCUUGAGGACAGAGGAGUGGUUUUUAAGGUUCUCCAAGAAUGAAUCCCAGGGAACCGGGAUGGCCAGUUGUCAAACUGUGACUUUGCUCUUUGGACGGUGUGCCCACCAAAGGAGAGGAAAACAAGUCUAAACUUACUUUCCAGUUGGAAAUGGAAUGGAGAGUUAACGUUGGAAGCCGGGAGAGUCUGUCCUGUGAUGAAGCGGUCUCCAAGCCACUUCCACUGGGAUGUCACGUCACUGUCUGGGCCCCUUUCUCAGCCUGUGCACAGCGUUCCUAGGAGAGAAUUCAGCAGUGCAGCAUCUUCUCCGAGCUCUAUGAGUUGAUCGGCUUCCACUGCAAGUCCAUCUUCUUCAAGUGGGUGGCCCCCGUGCAGCGCAUGGCCCCCGGCAUCCCGGAGCCUGGCGGGAAGGCCUGCUACCGACUCCUUCUGCAGACGCUUCCUGGCUACAGUCUGUCACUGAUUCUGCAGGACUUCAACAAAGGUUUUGGAACUAAAACAUUGCUUCAGUCCGAUUAACCAUGCCUUGUUUGGGCCCUGCUCUCCUGUCUCAUCAGGGUGAAUUGUGAUUCGUGUAGAGCAGGACACAGCAGACUUUUUUCUGUCAAGGGCUUGGGAGUCAAUAUUUCAGGAUCUGCAAACCUCCUGAUCUCUGGUGCAGCUGCUCAGCUCUGCUGUUCAGACGCCAGAGCAGCCAGACAGUCCACACACCCACAGAGCUUUAUUCACAGCAGUGGCUGGGGCUGGAUUGGGGGUAUGAACUGCAGUUUGUCCCCACAGCCUCCUCACUAUUGACGCCUGCACCAGAGCAUGCAUUUGCGACAAUGGGUGAACCUACACUGACACGUCAUCAUCACCAAGUGCCCAUACUUGACACUAGGAUUUACACUUGGUGGUGUGCACUCUGUGGGUUUGGACAGAUGUACAAUGACACGUUUCUACCAUCACAGCAUCAUACAGAGUAGUCUGUCUUAGUGACCCUAAAAAUGCUCCGUGCUGCACCUCAUUCAUUACUCCUUCCCCUCUAGCCUCUGACAGUAACUGAUCUUUUAGUCUCUGUGGUUUUGCCUUUCCCAGAACACCAUACAGUUGGAAUCAGACAGUUGCGGAACCUUCCCAGAUUGGCUUCUUUCACUUAGUAAUAUGCAUUUAAGGUUCCUCCAUGUCUUUCCAUGCCUUGAUAACUCACUUCACUUUAACACCAUAAAUAGUCCAUUUUCUGCCUGGACCACAGUUUAUUUAUCCAUUCACCUACUGAAGAACAGCUUAGUUGUUUCUGAGUUCUGGUGAUUAUGAAUAAAGCUGCUAUUAACAUCUGUAUGCAGAUUUGUGUGUGGACGUAAUUUUCCAUUUUGUUCAGUAAACACCAAGGAGAACAGUUGCCAGAUCAUAUGGUAGGAGUACGUUUAGUUUUUAAAAAAUUGCCAGACCGUCUUCCAAAGUAUCUGGGCCAUUUUUCAUUCCCACAAGCAAUGCAAGAGAAUUCCUGACACUCCACAUCCUCACCAGCAUUUGGUGCUGUCAGUGUUCUGAGUUUUGGCAGUUAUGACUGGUGUGCAGUGAUAUCUAGCUGUUUCAGUCUGCCGCCCCUUGAUGACAGAUGCUGUGGAGCAUGUUUCCAUAGAUUUCUUUGGCAUCUAGUUUCCAUGUUGAGGUGUGUGUUGAGGCAUUUUGCUCAUUUUUUAAGCAGGUUAUUCAUUCUUCUUGUUGAGUUUAAAGAGAUUUUGGUGUAUUCUGGAUAUCAGCCCUUUAUCAAUGUGUCCCUGCCCUUCACCUGCAGCACCGGAGUUGUCCUUUGGGUCUCAGUGGAGUGUCAGCUCUUCAAAGAGGUUCCCUGUCUUCACUCACCUAAAUACUGUCCUUGAAUUUUUCACUUUCAUUGACUCACUUUGUUCUUUUAAAAUAGCAUUUCCCAUAAUUUGUAAGUACAUUA